rnacentral:rRNA from 1 species
GACGAACGCUGGCGGCGUGCCUAAUACAUGCAAGUCGAACGCUGAAGGAGGAGCUUGCUUCUCUGGAUGAGUUGCGAACGGGUGGGUAACGCGUAGGUAACCUGCCUGGUAGCGGGGGAUAACUAUUGGAAACGAUAGCUACUACCGCAUAAGAGUAGAUGUUGCAUGACAUUUGCUUAAAAGGUGCACUUGCAUCACUACCAGAUGGCCCUGCGUUGUAUUAGCUAGUUGGUGGGGUAACGGCUCACCAAGGCGACGGUACAUAGCCGACCGGAGAAGGGGAUCGGCCAAACUGGGACUGGGACACGGCCCAGACUCCUACGGGAGGGAGCAGGAGGGAAUCUUCGGCAAUGGACGGAAGUCUUAACGAGCAAAGCCGGGGGAGGGAAGAAGGGUUUCGGAUCGUAAAGCUCGGUUGUAAGAGAAGAAAGAGUGUGAGAGUGGAAAGUUCACACUGUGACGGUAUCUAACCAGAAAGGGACGGCUAACUACGUG